rnacentral:rRNA from 1 species
CUCUCGAAUAAUAUACAGACCGUUCUGGAAACCGACACAGGUGGGCAAGCUGAGAAGGCUAAAGGGAGCGGAAGAACCUCCGUUAAGGAACUAGGCAAAAUGACCUCGUAACUUCGGGAAAAGAGGUGCUCCUAAAGGUGUCAAAACCGGAAGGAGUUGCAGUGACAAGGCCCUGCCGACUGUUUACCAAAAACACAGGUCUAUGCGAAUUCGGAAAGAAGAAGUAUAUGGACUGACGCCUGCCCAGUGCUGGAAGGUUAAGGGGAGUGGUGCAAGCUACGAACCGAAGCCCCAGUAAACGGCGGCCGUAACAAUAACGGUCCUAAGGUAGCGAAAUUCCUUGUCGGGUAAGUUCCGACCUGCAUGAAUGGCGUAACGAGUUGGGCGCUGUCUCAACGGAGGAUCCGGUGAAAUUCCAGACUGGGUGAAGAUGCCCAGGACCCGCAGUUAGACGGAAGGACCCCAUGGAGUUUUACUGUAACUUGAUAUUGUAAUUUGUUGUUAUGUGUACAGGAUAGGUGGGAGGCUAAGAGUCAAGGUCGUCAGAUUUUGAGGAGCCGACGGUGGGAUACCACCCUCAUGAUAAUGGAUUACUAACUAUUGUGUAUGAAGAGUACAGAUAGGACAGUGUUAGGUGGGCAGUUUGACUGGGGCGGUCGCAUCCUAAAGAGUAUCGGAUGCGUGCGAAGGUAGGUUCAGGUUGGUUGGAAAUCAACCGUUGAGUGCAAGGGCAAAGGCCUGCCUGACUGCGAGACUGACAGGUCGAGCAGAAGCGAAAGCUGGUCCUAGUGACCCGGCCGAUCCGAGUGGAAGGGCGGUCGAUCAACGGAUAAAAGUUACCCUGGGGAUAACAGGCUAAUCACGCCCGAGAGUUCACAUCGACGGCGUGGAUUGGCACCUCGAUGUCGGCUCAUCGCAUCCUGGGGCUGAAGCAGGUCCCAAGGGUUGUGCUGUUCGCACAUUAAAGCGGUACGUGAGCUGGGUUCAGAACGUCGUAAGACAGUUCGGUCCCUAUCUGCUGUGGGUGAAGGAAGCUUGAAGGGAGUCGCUUCUAGUACGAGAGGACCGAAGUGAGUGUACCUCUGGUGAACCAGCUGUCAGGCCAAUGGCAGGAGCUGGGUAGCUAAGUACGUAACAGAUAACCGCUGAAAGCAUCUAAGCGGGAAACUGACCCUAAGAUGGAGCUUCCCAUUCGAAAGAAGUAAGGGUUGUUCGAGACUAGGACGUUGAUAGGUCGCAGGUGUAAGUGCAGUGAUGUAUUGAGCCGAGCGAUACUAAUAGCCCGAGGCUUUGGACC